rnacentral:rRNA from 1 species
CAGCAGUGGGGAAUUUUGGACAAUGGGCGCAAGCCUGAUCCAGCCAUGCCGCGUGAGUGAAGAAGGCCUUCGGGUUGUAAAGCUCUUUCAGACGGAAAGAAAUCGGGCGCGUGAAUAGCGUGCCUGGAUGACGGUACUGUCAGAAGAAGCACCGGCUAACUACGUGCCAGCAGCCGCGGUAAUACGUAGGGUGCGAGCGUUUAUUGGAAUUACUGGGCGUAAAGCGUGCGCAGGCGGUUGUGUAAGACAGGUGUGAAAUCCCCGGGCUUAACCUGGGAACUGCGCUUGUGACUGCACGGCUAGAGUACGGCAGAGGGGGGUGGAAUUCCACGUGUAGCAGUGAAAUGCGUAGAUAUGUGGAGGAACACCGAUGGCGAAGGCAGCCCCCUGGGCCGAUACUGACGCUCAUGCACGAAACGCGUGGGGAGCAAACAGGAUUAGAUACCCUGGUAGUCCACGCCCUAAACGAUGUCGACUAGUCGUUCGGAGAGGUAACUCUCUGAGUGA